rnacentral:rRNA from 1 species
ACGGAAGGCAGCAGUGAGGAAUAUUGGUUAAUGGGCGGAAGCCUGAACCAGCCAAGUCGCGUGAAGGAUGAAGGUAUUAUGUAUUGUAAACUUCUUUAGCAGCAGAGUAAUAAGGUCCUCGUGAGGACCGAUGCAAGUAUGCUGAAAAUAAGGAUCGGCUAACUCCGUGCCAGCAGCCGCGGUAAUACGGAGGAUCCGAGCGUUAUCCGGAUUUAUUGGGUUUAAAGGGUGCGCAGGCGGCUUUUUAAGUCAGCGGUAAAAUCGUGGGGCUCAACCCCAUCCUGCCGUUGAUACUGGAGAUCUUGAGUGCGGUUGAGGUUGGCGGAAUUCGUCGUGUAGCGGUGAAAUGCAUAGAUAUGACGAAGAACACCGAUUGCGUAGGCAGCUGACCAAGCCGUAAAUGACGCUCAUGCACGAAAGUGCGGGGAUCGAACAGGAUUAGAUACCCUGGUA